AUGAUGUUUAGACAUUUCACACCAAGGACCUCUGAAAGGCGACCCCAGGUUUACACCUCUGUGCUUGACUUUAUUCCCUCAGCAUCAGACGAUGGGCAGAAAAUCACCUGUGCUGUCCGCUAUGGAACAGGAACCAGCCAAUUCUACAGAGAAAGAACUAUCAAUCUGAACGUCCGAUACCCACCACAAAUCGUAGGCAUCACCAGUGAAAUUAUGGAAUCAAAGAAAGAUUUGACAAGCUUCACAGAUGUCACUGAUAGCACUCAGAUUGUGGCACUGCACUGCAAGGUAAAGGGGAACCCUUCACCCAAUGUCACUUGGGUGGAGGAAACACAAUCCUUGGGAAAAUUUCAUCUCAUAAGAGGCAGUGAAUGGAAGUUUCCCAGUGUACAGAUACAACAUACAGACACAUACAAGUGUCGCGCAGAAAACAGCGAAGGCGUUACUGAGAAAACCUUCUGGUUUGCUGUAACAGAGGUCCAAGGUGAACCUACAGCACCAGGAUAUUUCGGCUCUAUUGUUCCAUUAUUGCUAGUCCUCUGCCUAAUCAAAGCGCUGCUGUGUUUCUUCUUCUUUAUCUCCAUCAUUUCGCUUUUCACUCAACGGAAAGCUCAAGUAAUGAAAAGAUUAACCACAGACAUUAAGAAGAUGCAAGCUGCUGUGCCUCCUGAAAAAGAAGAAACAAAGAGCAACAAUGACAGUACAAUCUGCCAGGCUUUAGUACAGCAGGUUAAACCACAAGCUGCAGUAAAUCUUGUCAAUCAAAAGGUUGAUAAUUCAAAGCUUGAGUCAGGGUGAGCUCCUGGCUUUUAGUUUAGCUUCUGCCUACCUAGCAGUUGGAAGGCAAAAUGUGAGUAGAUAAAUAGGUACCCCUUUAAAAUGGGGAGGUAUUAAGGCAUCCAUAAGGAAAUGCCAGAAAAAUGCUGACGAUUCAAUCAAGGAGGAAGUUUAUGAGCAAAGCUCUUCGGCAGGGAGAUGGAGCGACAGCACUCCUCCAUUGCUGAAACCGAGCACAAGCCUCCAAGAUGUCAAAGAUGGAAAAAACCUAUAUAUACCGCUAUUCUAUGUACAAUUGUAUGUUUUGUCAAUACAGUAGAGUCUCACUUAUCCAACACUUGCUUAUCCAACGUUCUGGAUUAUCCAACACAUUUUUGUAGUCAAUGUUUUCAAUAUAUCAUGAUAUUUUGGUGCUAAAUUCGUAAAUACAGUAAUUACUACAUAGCAUUACUGCGUAUUGAACUACUUUUUUUGUCAAAUUUGUUUUAUAACAUGAUGUUCUGGUGCUUAAUUUGUAAAAUCAUAACCUAAUUUGAUGUUUAAUAGGCUUUUUCUUAAUCUCUCCUUAUUAUCCAACAUAUUCGCUUAUCCAACGUUCUGUCGGCCCGUUUAUGUUGGAUAAGUGAGACUCUACUGUAUAUAAAUUGCAUUGAAUGUGUGUUCUGUGAUCCGCCCUUUAGGAUGAGAAAGGCAGAAUAUAAAUACUGCAAAUAAAUUAAUAAACAAACAAACCAGAAUUUGAGGAAUUUCUGUUACCCAGUCCCCAAACUGCCCUAUUACUGGCCAACAGAUGGACUUCAUUUGGCUAUGACAAAUAUUACAUAUAAUUCUCUCAGUUUGUAUUUUAAAUAAAAGCAUUUGGUAGAAUUAGAUUUAUCACAGAAAAAAGUUCAGGAAUGGAAAUUAAUGGUGAAAUGUGUGUGGAUCUUUAUGCAUUAAAAACAGUUGCAUAACAAAUGAAGUUUAUUUUAAAAGUAAACAAAAUGCAGAAAGCGGCAUACAGUCAAUGGUGUUCUUUUACUGGAUUUGGGGAAAUCAUGAAUAAAAAUAAUAAAACACAUUUUUUCCUUUUAUUUGAGGGAACACUUCUCUAAUGAGUGUCUAUGCCAUCUCUAUUUCUUGGAGAAUUAGAGAAAUAAUGCAGUUGGAUGCCACUUUGACGGCAAUGGCUCACCGUUAUGGAAUUCUGGUAUCCUGUAAUUUAGUUUGGCACCAACACCCUUAACAUAAAAGCCUAAAAACCUUGCAAAACUAGAACUUUUGUUAUUCUAUUAGAUUGUAAAAUAGCAGUUAAAGUGGUGCCAAAUGUCUUUCAUUCUACAGUGUAGAUACUCCCAGAGUCCUCUGACCAAUGUUAGAAAAACUGGUUUUGUAUCCAUUAAUUACAUUUAUAACCUCAAUUGUCUUCAAUGAAAUCAAGGAACCAUGUUUCACCCACAGAAAAGCCCAACUGGGGGGUUCACGCAGAGAUAUUUGACUUCAAAGCCAUCCAGUGAUAUUUCACUAGGGGUUAAAAUGAUAUUUCCCAGCUCAACAGUCUUAUCAUGAUACAAUUUGAACACCUUUGAGACCAACUGGUUUUUAUUUUAGCAUUUGUGAAUUAAUAAAUUCACUUCUUCAGAUGCAGCUGUUACGUAUGUAACAUUUUAAAUAUAUAUAGUGCUCCACGAAGCCAUCAUCUGUGUUUAUGCCUCUACUAAACAGUAUUUGAACAGUGUCUGAAAUUUCCACUGAUUUGUAUAAGAUGAUGUAUAGAUGCUGGGAUCUGAUGUCUACUUCUAAGAAGUAGAAAGCAGAAUUUGUUUUUUUUUUUGGGGGGGGGGGUUAAAGGCAUUCUAACUGUAUUUAUUAUAUUUUAAUUACAUUUUAAUCUAACCCACACAGUACUAUUUAGUUAGGAUUUUUAUUUUUGUAUUUGCUUUGUUUUAAAUGGAAACCAAAGAGUGUGGAUGUUAGACACCUUGAGUCCCCAUGGGGAGAAAGAUGGGAUAUAAAUAAAGUAAAUAAAUAACCGUAAUUAACUAAUUUUUUUAUUAUUAUUAUUAUUAUUAUUAUUAUUAUUAUUAUUAUCAUCAUCUAUAGAGACAAUUCUUGUAAAUAUAGGAAAUGUGAGAGAAAAGUGUGGCCAUUUUCAUCCCAAUGGUCCUAAAAAUGAUGGAAAGUGGAGCCUCAGAAGUUCCCUUAUUGCCAACAAUGGGCCGGAUCUUCAUGGAGCAAAAACAGAACUUCUGUCUGAUGGAUCCAGGAAAUGGUAUUUUCCCCUCCCAAUUUUGGGAAUUUCCCAAAAAAAAUGGAAUAUCCCCCUUCCUCUGAAAAACAGGACCGAAAAUGGAACAGGUUUUUGAUGAAUUGCACAACCCUAGUUGUUACACAGUGGUGUACUUCUGUUUAUCUUUUUAAAAAAUUAUUUUUGCUCAAGUAAGCUUUGAAAAUAUUUUACAUUACUACAUAAAACACAAUUAUACUAAGAAGAAAAUGAAAACCCAACUGUUCUUAGUGCAAUAAACUCCCCAAAGCAGAUAGAAAAUGGUGUGAACUUCCAAGGUUACUUCUUGGCCAAGCUGUCCUUUGAGUUCCCU
rnacentral:lncRNA from 1 species